AUUGAACGCUGGCGGCAGGCCUAACACAUGCAAGUCGAGCGAGCGGCGGACGGGUGAGUAAUGUCUGGGAAACUGCCUGAUGGAGGGGGAUAACUACUGGAAGCGGUAGCUAAUACCGCAUACUAUCAGAUGUGCCCAGGUGGGAUUAGCUAGUGGGUGGGGGCACGGCUCACCUAGGCGACGAUCCCUAGCUGGUCUGAGAGGAUGACCAGCCAAACUGGAACUGAGACACGGUCCAGUCUCCUAGGGGAGUCAGCAGUGGGGAAUAUUGCACAAUGGGCGCAAGCCUGAUGCAGCCAUGCGGCGUGUGUGAAGAAGGCCUUCGGGUUGUAAAGCACUUUCAGCGGGGAGGCGUUACCCGCAGAAGAAGCACCGGCUAACUCCGUGCCAGCAGCCGCGGUAAUAC
rnacentral:rRNA from 1 species